GGGUCAGUAGGUUGGUCGUGCCACCGGUACGUACUGGUCUCACUGAUUCCUCCUUCCUGAAGAACCGUAAUGCCAUUAAUUUGGUGUGGCGGGGAAACAGGACUGUUACUUUGAAAAAAUUAGAGUGUUUAAAGCAAGCUAACGCUUGAAUACAUUAGCAUGGAAGAAUGAAAUAGGACGAUCGAUCCUAUUUUGUUGGUUUCUAGGAUUGACGUA
rnacentral:rRNA from 1 species